GGCCUGAUGGUCUAGUAGUAUGAUACCUUCUUAGGGCUUCAACAGCUGUGUUUGGAGGUGGUCCCGGGUUCAAUUCCCGGUCAGGCCC